rnacentral:tRNA from 1 species
CAAGGGGUAGCUUACCCCUAAAGCACCCAGCUUACAACUGGAAGAUGUAAAUAUCCUGCCCCCUUGAG